GUCCAGACUCCUACGGGAGGCAGCAGUGGGGGAUAUUGCACAAUGGGGGGAACCCUGAUGCAGCGACGCCGCGUGGGUGAAGAAGCGCCUCGGCGCGUAAAGCCCUGUCAGCAGGGAAGAAAAUGACGGUACCUGAAGAAGAAGCCCCGGCUAACUACGUGCCAGCAGCCGCGGUAAUACGUAGGGGGCAAGCGUUAUCCGGAUUCACUGGGUGUAAAGGGAGCGUAGACGGCGGGGCAAGUCUGGAGUGAAAGGCCGGGGCCCAACCCCGGGACCGCUCUGGAAACUGCCCGGCUGGAGUGCGGGAGAGGUAAGCGGAAUUCCUAGUGUAGCGGUGAAAUGCGUAGAUAUUAGGAGGAACACCAGCGGCGAAGGCGGCUUACUGGACCGUGACUGACGUUGAGGCUCGAAAGCGUGGGGAGCAAACAGGAUUAGAUACCCUGGUAAU
rnacentral:rRNA from 1 species